rnacentral:rRNA from 1 species
GGAUUCCUCUAGUAACUGCGAGUGAAAAAGGAUAAGCUCAGCGCUGAAUCUCUGUGGUUUAACUACUGCAGCGAACUGUAGCGUAUAAGGAUAUAUUAUGGCAUAAUAUAGAUAUCUAAGUUCUCGUUGAUUCGAGUUCCAAAGAAGGUUUAAGACCUGUAAGGUAUCUAAUAUUUUGUCAAUUGAUAUUUUCUUACGAGUCGAGUUGUUUGGAAACGCAGCUCAAAGUAGGUGGUAAACUCCAUCUAAAGCUAAAUAUAACCGUGAGACCAAUAGUAAACAAGUACCGUGAGGGAAAGUUGAAAAGUACUCUGAAGAGAGAGUUAAAAGAACGUGAAAACGAUUAAGUGGAAGCAAACAGGUCUAUUUGAAGAUAUAUAGUUUUCUAUAUAUCUGCUAAUAAGUAUACGAAGUAACUAUUAUGUUGUUUUAAGAGGACUCUUUUGAGAACCCUUAUAAUGAUUGAACGUUGUCUUUCUAUGCGAAUAUUAGCAUUUAUGAUGGUUACCUGUUUGACCCGUCUUGAAACACGGACCAAGAAGUUUAUUGUAUACGCGAGUCACUAAGUGUAAAAACUUAUUGGCACAAUGAAAGUAAAGGUUUACUCGUUAAGCUUAUGUGUGAUGGUGUGUUUACGGAUACUCUGGCAACACAGUCCUAUUCUAAUGAUUUAUCAUAGAGUGGAGAUAGAGCGUAUGCAAUGAGACCCGAAAGAUGGUGAUCUAUGCUUGAGCAGGAUGAAGCCGGAGGAAACUCUGGUGGAAGUCCGUAACGGUUCUGACGUGCAAAUCGAUCGUCUGACUUGAGUAUAGGGGCGAAAGACUAAUCGAACCAUCUAGUAG